rnacentral:rRNA from 1 species
GGCCUUUUGUUAUUUAUAUAAGGUCUAACCUGCCCAAUGAUGAUAAAUUUAAUGGCCGCGGUAUUUUGACCGUGCAAAGGUAGCAUAAUCAUUAGUUUUUUAAUUGAAAGCUGGAAUGAAAGGUUGAAUGAGAAAAUAACUGUCUUUAUUAUAUUUAAUUAGAAUUUUAUUUUUAAGUUAAAAAGCUUAAAUUUAAUUUAAAGACGAGAAGACCCUUUAGAGUUUUAUAAAGAAUUUGUUUUUGAUUUUUUAGAAUUAAUUAUAAUGAGGCAAUGUUUUAUUUGGUUGGGGCGAUUAAAAAAUUUAAUAAACUUUUUUUCUUAUUUUACAUUAAUUUAUGAAUACUUGAUCCUUAAUUUAAGAUUAUAAGAUUAAAUUACCUAAGGGAUAACAGCGUUAUUUUUUUUGAGAGUUCUUAUCGAAAAAAAAGAUUGCGACCUCGAUGUUGGAUUAAAAUUAAAUUAUGGUGUAGAGGCUAUAACUUUAGGUCUGUUCGACCUUUAAAAUUUUACAUGAUCUGAGUUUAAACCGGUGUAAGCCAGGUUGGUUUCUAUCUUAAAUUUAUUAUAAUAUUUUAGUACGAAAGGACCAAAUAUUAUAUUUAUAAUAUUAAAAUUUGAAUAAAACUAAAUUAUUUUGGCAGAUUAGUGCGAUAGAUUUAGAAUCUUUAUAUGUAAUUAUUUACAAAUAAUACUUGUUAUUAAAAGAUUUAGUUUUAUUAUUCAUUUCUAGUUUAAUUUUAAUUAUUUGUGUUUUAGUUGGUGUUGCUUUUUUAACUUUGUUAGAACGUAAAGUUUU